rnacentral:rRNA from 1 species
AGUGAACGCUGGCGGUAGGCCUAACACAUGCAAGUCGAACGGCAGCACAGUAAGAGCUUGCUCUUACGGGUGGCGAGUGGCGGACGGGUGAGGAAUACAUCGGAAUCUACUUUUUCGUGGGGGAUAACGUAGGGAAACUUACGCUAAUACCGCAUACGACCUACGGGUGAAAGCAGGGGAUCUUCGGACCUUGCGCGAUUGAAUGAGCCGAUGUCGGAUUAGCUAGUUGGCGGGGUAAAGGCCUACCAAGGCGACGAUCCGUAGCUGAUCUGAGAGGAUGAUCGGCCACACUGGAACUGAGACACGGUCCAGACUCCUACGGGAGGCAGCAGUGGGGAAUAUUGGACAAUGGGCGCAAGCCUGAUCCAGCCAUACCGCGUGGGUGAAGAAGGCCUUCGGGUUGUAAAGCCCUUUUGUUGGGAAAGAAAAGCAGCAGGUUAAUACCCCGCUGUUCUGACGGUACCCAAAGAAUAAGCACCGGCUAACUUCGUG